CAGUAGCCGCGGUAAUACGAAUGGUGCAAGCGUUACUCGGAAUUACUGGGCGUAAAGCGUGCGUAGGUGGUGGUUUAAGUCCGUUGUGAAAGCCCUGGGCUCAACCUGGGAAUUGCAGUGGAUACUGGGUCACUAGAGUGUGGUAGAGGAUAAUGGAAUUUCCGGUGUAGCAGUGAAAUGCGUAGAGAUCGGAAGGAACAUCUGUGGCGAAGGCGACUAUCUGGGCCAACACUGACACUGAGGCACGAAAGCGUGGGGAGCAAACAGGAUUAGAUACCCGCGUAGUCCCUGUCUCUUAUAA
rnacentral:rRNA from 1 species